UACAGAGGGUGCAAGCGUUAUUCGGAAUUACUGGGCGUAAAGCGCACGUAGGCGGCUUCUUAAGUCGGUGGUGAAAUCCUGGAGCUCAACUCCAGAACUGCCUUCGAUACUGGGAAGCUCGAGUCCGGGAGAGGUGAGUGGAACUGCGAGUGUAGAGGUGAAAUUCGUAGAUAUUCGCAAGAACACCAGUGGCGAAGGCGGCUCACUGGCCCGGUACUGACGCUGAGGUGCGAAAGCGUGGGGAGCGAACAGG
rnacentral:rRNA from 1 species